rnacentral:rRNA from 1 species
UACGGGGGGGGCAAGCGUUGUUCGGAAUUACUGGGCGUAAAGGGCUCGUAGGCGGCCAACUAAGUCGGUCGUGAAAUCCCUCGGCUUAACCGGGGAACUGCGUCCGAUACUGGAUGGCUUGAGUUCGGGAGAGGGAUGCGGAAUUCCAGGUGUAGCGGUGAAAUGCGUAGAUAUCUGGAGGAACACCGGUGGCGAAGGCGGCAUCCUGGACCGACACUGACGCUGAGGAGCGAAAGCCAGGGGAGCAAACAGG